rnacentral:rRNA from 1 species
UACAGAGGGUGCAAGCGUUGUUCGGAAUUAUUGGGCGUAAAGGGCGCGUAGGCGGUGCGGUAAGUCUGUAGUGAAAUCUCUGGGCUCAACUCAGAGUCUGCUGCAGAAAACUGCCCGUGCUUGAGUGUGGGAGAGGUGAGUGGAAUUCCCGGUGUAGCGGUGAAAAUGCGUAGAUAUCGGGAGGAACACCUGUGGCGAAAAGCGGCUCACUGGACCACAACUGACGCUGAGGCGCGAAAGCUAGGGGAGCAAACAGG